rnacentral:tRNA from 1 species
GCCCUCGUGGUGGAAUUGGUAGACACACCAGUUUUAGGAACUGGCGCUUUACCGCAUGCCGGUUCGAGUCCGGCCGAGGGUA